UACGUAGGGUGCAAGCGUUGUCCGGAAUUAUUGGGCGUAAAGCGCGCGCAGGCGGUCCCUUAAGUCUGAUGUGAAAGCCCACGGCUCAACCGUGGAGGGUCAUUGGAACCUGGGGGACUUGAGUACAGAAGAGGAAAGCGGAAUUCCACGUGUAGCGGUGAAAUGCGUAGAGAUGUGGAGGAACACCAGUGGCGAAGGCGGCUUUCUGGUCUGUAACUGACGCUGAGGCGCGAAAGCGUGGGGAGCAAACAGG
rnacentral:rRNA from 1 species